CCUACGGGAGGCUGCAGUGAGGAAUAUUGGUCAAUGGUCGGGAGACUGAACCAGCCAAGCCGCGUGAGGGAUGAAGGUACAGAGUAUCGUAAACCUCUUUUGUCAGGGAACAAAGGCGGGGACGUGUCCCCUGAUGAGUGUACCUGAAGAAAAAGCAUCGGCUAACUCCGUGCCAGCAGCCGCGGUAAUACGGAGGAUGCGAGCGUUAUCCGGAUUUAUUGGGUUUAAAGGGUGCGCAGGCGGUCUGUUAAGUCAGUGGUCAAAGCCCGGGGCUCAACCCCGGCCCGCCGUUGAAACUGGCAGUCUCGAGUUGGAGAGAAGUAUGCGGAAUGCGCGGUGUAGCGGUGAAAUGCAUAGAUAUCGCGCAGAACUCCGAUUGCGAAGGCAGCAUGCCGGCUCCACACUGACGCUGAGGCACGAAAGCGUGGGUAUCGAACAGGAUUAGAUACCCUUGUAGUC
rnacentral:rRNA from 1 species